UCAUCAUAAUAAAUACUUAAUACACAUGUGACUAUCAAGCCAGGGCCACCAGAACCAAAAGUGUUUGAUAACUUUAAUAUGAUGAACAUCCACAUGAUUAUGAGAAGCUGAGAUAGCUAGGUGUCGUCUCUCACUUUAUGACAUCAUUCUCACAAGCACAAAUGGAAUCAAGUCUGGAGAGUUUGCUUGAUAGACAUAAUUUACCUGGUAUUUUGACUGUACCACUGAGGGAGGCGUCGUCGCUGUACGGGUGUGGACUCUCCUGAAUCACUGGUUGCGGCAACCUCCCACAAACACGAUCCGAUGCCACAUCCUCCAGCUCCGUAACACACAACUCCAGCAACAUCUCCGCUACCUGCACAGAAUGACAACGCACCGAUUACUUACAGAUAUUCAAUGAAAUUACAGGAGACACAUGUAUAAAAAAAGAUAAACACUUUAGUUUGAGAAAUGAAGAAUUUGAAUUAUGAAUAAUACAAUUUAUGUAGAGUGAUGAUGUAAAAAAAGUUUUCUGUUUUAAAACAUGUACAUGUACUUCAAUUUCUGACAGUGUAAUUUGCAGACACAAACUUGUAUCAAUAAAAAAUUCAUAAUGUCAA